rnacentral:rRNA from 1 species
AGCAGCCGCGGUAAUUCCAGCUCCAAUAGCGUAUAUUAAAGUUGUUGCAGUUAAAAAGCUCGUAGUUGAAUUUCGAGAUCAAUUUGUUGGUCGUGCCUCGGUACGUACUGGCAAUUUUGAUUUCUCCCUUCUGAAGAACCAUGAUGUCAUUAAUUUGGUGUCAUGGGGAAUCAGGACCGUUACUUUGAAAAAUUAGAGUGUUUAAAGCAGGCUCGCGCUUGAAUACAUUAGCAUGGAAUAAUGAAAUAGGACGUUUGAUUCUAUUUUGUUGGUUUCUAGGAUCGACGUAAUGAUUAAUAGGGAUUGUUGGGGGCAUUAGUAUUCAAUUGUCAGAGGUGAAAUUCUCGGAUUUAUUGAAGACUAACUACUGCGAAAGCAUUUGCCAAGGAUGUUUUCAUUAAUCAAGAACGAAAGUUAGGGGAUCGAAGACGAUCAGAUACCGUCGUAGUCUUAACCAUAAACUAUGCCGACUAGGGAUCGGAUGAUGUUAAUUUUUAAUGACUCAUUCGGC